GGUAGUCUCUGCUAGUUGGGGGGCUGAUACUGAUUAGUCACAUGAGUCUGGGAGUUCUAAGGUAUAAUAGGGCUAAAGCUACACUACAGUUUCAGUCUGGGAAAGAAAGAAAGAAAGAAAGAAAGAAAGAAAGAAAGAAAGAAAGAAAGAAAGAAAGAAAGAAAGAAAGAAAGAAAGAAAGAAAGAAAGAAAGAAAGAAAGAAAGAAAGAAAGAAAGAAAGAAAGAAAGAAAGAAAGAAAGAAAGAAAGAAAGAAAGAGAUUUAUUCAUAGAAGGAAGGAAGGAAGGAAGGAAGGAAGGAAGGAAGGAAGGAAGGAAGGAAGGAAGGAAGGAAGGAAGGAAGGAAGGAAGGAAGAAAGAAAGGUAUGAGGAAGGAAGGAGGAAGGGGGUAGGAAAAAGGGGAAAAAAAGAAAU
rnacentral:lncRNA from 1 species